CACGUAGGCACCAAGCGUUGUCCGGAUUUAUUGGGCGUAAAGAGCUCGUAGGCGGUUCGGUAAGUCGGGUGUGAAAACUUUGGGCUCAACCCAAAGCCUGCACUCGAUACUGCUGUGACUUGAGUCCGGUAGGGGAGUGGGGAAUUCCUGGUGUAGCGGUGGAAUGCGCAGAUAUCAGGAGGAACACCGGUGGCGAAGGCGGGUCUCUGGGCAGUAACUGACGCUGAGGAGCGAAAGCGUGGGGAGCGAACCGG
rnacentral:rRNA from 1 species